rnacentral:misc_RNA from 1 species
AACGCACCUUGCGCUCCUUGGUAUUCCGAGGAGUAUGCCUGUUUGAGUGUCGGGAAAUCAUCAAUUCUCCUUACUUUUGUGGGGCUAGAAUUGGAUUUGGAGAUUUGCUGGACCCUAGUGUUAGGGUUAAGCUUCUCUUGAAUGCAUUAGCUGGACUUUGAAUGUGCAUAUAUGCAGUGUGAUAACUAUCUUCACUGUUGGCGGGUUCAAUUUGACUCUGGCUUCUAAUGGGUUCAAUAUCAUGAACCAUCCUUUGACCAUCUGACCUCAAAUCAGGUAGGAUUACCCGCUGAACUUAA